rnacentral:rRNA from 1 species
AUUGAACGCUGGCGGCAGGCCUAACACAUGCAAGUCGAGCGAGCGGCGGAAGGGGGAGAAAUGUAUGGGGACUGCCCGAUAUAGGGGGAUAACUACGGGAAACGGUAGCUAAUACCGCAGACUAUCGGAAAACACUUAUGGGAUGAGCUUGUGGGUGAGGGAAUGGCGCACCUAGGCGACGAUCCCGAGCUGGUCUGAGAGGAUGAUCAGCCACACUGGGCCUGAGACACGGCCCAGACUCCUCCGGAGGCAGCAGUGGGGAAUAUUGCACAAUGGGGGCAAGCCUGAUGCAGCCAUGCCGCGUGUAUGAAGAAGGCCCUAGGGUUGUAAAGUACUUUCAGUCGGGCGGCGUUACCGGCAUAAGAAGCACCGGCUAACUCCGUGCCAGCAGCCGCGGUAAUAC